rnacentral:rRNA from 1 species
CACGCACGCUGGCGGCGUGCUUAACACAUGCAAGUCGAACGGAAAGGCACUGAUAUUGUGGGGUGAUCGAGUGGCGAACGGGUGAGUAACACGUGAGUAACCUGAUCUUGACUUUGGGAUAACUUCAGGAAACUGGGGCUACUCCAGGAUAGGAGCUCCUGUUGGAUGGAGGGGGUUGGAAAGUUUCGGCGGUCGGGGAUGGACUAGCGGCUUAUCAGCUUGUUGGUGGGGUAGUGGCAUACCCAGGAAUUGACGGGUAGCCGGCCGGUGAGGGUGAACGGCCUCAUUGGGACUGAGAGACGGCCCAGUCUCCUACGGGAGGCAGCAGUGGGGAGUAUUGCACAAUGGUCGGAAGCCGGAUGCAGCAACGUCGCGGUCGGAAUGACGGCCUUCGGUGUGUAAACCGCUUUCGCCUGUGACGAAGCGUGUGUGACGGUAAUGGGUGAAGAAGCACCGGCUAACUACGUG